UGUCCCUUUCGUACAAAUUAUAAUUUACCAACACUGGAUAAAACGAAAAGAAAGCAGUUGAAAAACGUAAAGACCACAAAUAUUCAUGUUUCCACGGAUCUCUCCUCAAGUAGCUGAAGAGAGGAACAUUUUUUGUACCCAGAUAUUAGCAAAUAAACAUUAGAUUUGUGAGAAUCCAAGAUGUCGUACGGAAUUAUGAAGAAAUUGCAUGAAGAUGUGGUGAUGCAGAUUCUCUUAGAGUUAUCGGUGAAAUCUCUCAUACGAUUCAAGAGCAUCUCUAAGAUUUUGUACACUCUAAUACAUUCCUCCAUUUUCAUCAAUCUUCAUCGCAACCGCAGAAGAAACACAAAAGAUGAAUUGCUUAUCUUAAAGCGUCCCAUCUUUCUAGAUGAAAACCUAUAUAAAAAUAUAAUGUAUUUUCUUUCUAGUAAUGAUAACGAUGAUACCCUAAAGCACGUUUCUCCAGAAAUAGAUGUACCAUAUUUUGAGAAUGAUUUUUGUGUUCAAUUUCAACAGCUCAUUGGUUCUUCUCAUGGUUUGAUUGCUUUGACAGAUUAUGAAGAAAUCAUAUUUCUAAAUCCUACUACUAGAAAAUAUAGACUUCUCCCACACAGCCUUUUUAGGUGUCCAAAAGAUUUCGUUUUUGUCCCCAGAGGUGUUGGUUUUGGAUAUGACUCAAUCGAAAAAGAUUACAAGGUAGUCAGGUUUUAUAAACUGUCUUCGGAACCUUAUGAUAGGGAUUUAGAAGCAAGACAUAGCAGAGUUGAGGUUUAUGAUUUUCGCACACAUACUUGGAGGUGAAUUAUUCCUACCGUAAAGUUAUUGCCCAGGGUGCAUCACUAUGUUGGUUCCGAAGCCUUUUUUAGUGGAGCAUGUCAUUGGACUGCACAGGAUGAUGAUGAAGAGCCCAUCGUUCUCUGCUUUCACUUAACCUACGAAUCUUUUCGCAACAUAAAAUUGCCUGAUACUUGUUAUUUUUGUGACAAUAAAGGUUAUGGCCUCACAGUUUGUCAAAAAUCUUUAACCUUAAUUUGUUACCCACAUCCAAAAUGCCAUCUUGAGCCAGGAAAAGAGUUCACAGAUAUUUGGUUCAUAAAGGAGUAUGGUGAAGAUGAAACAUGGAUUAAGAAAUACACAAUUAGACCUCUUCCCAUUGAAUCUUCAUUCGCAAUUUGAAAGGAUCAUAUAUUACUUUUUCAAACCGGAACUGGAACUUUGAGUUCCUAUGAUAUUCAUUCCGAUCAAAUCAACGAAUUCGGUUACCAAGCUAAUAAUGGUACUUUGAGACUUGUAAUAUACAAUGAAGCUCUCACUAUAAUUCCAAGAGAAAGCAACGAAGCUACUCAAGUUCUAAAUUAUUGACUCUUAAAACUCCUUCUUUGUGACCAUUCUACACUUCAAAAUUUUUAGAUAUUUGGAUGUAAUAUUUGAAU